rnacentral:lncRNA from 1 species
AUGCACCGUUUCAGGUUUUUAAGCUGGCGGGGGGGGGGGGGUGAAGAGGCUGUAAAGGGAGGAGAAAUUCUCUGCAAAGUAAGUUUCGGGGGAGAGAAAAAAAAAAAACGACCCAUAAAACUCCUACCUCUGAGACCCACGCCCAAGUCCCCACACUUGCACCGCUUUUUACCACAGGAGCCUCCUGAGGAGACCUCGGCACCGCCGCCCCCUCUGGGAGCGCGCGCGGGAGACCAUCUUGCCGCGGUCUGUCCCGGGCCCGUGCGGACCGCUACCGGGGCCCAGUCCGGUUUUCUGAGAGAAAUGGGAAGACGACGUGUGGGAAGCGGCGAGGGAAGCCCCGGGACCGUCGCCCUCACGUUAGGAACCUCCGGCAGAGCUCAACUGAAAGAAUACGAGAAUACAUGGAGGGAAAAAAUGAAAACCCUACUGUGAAAAAAUGUGAAAUGGGUCUUUUACUGUGAUGGCCUAACCUCCAGGUAGGUCACAAUCAAAUCAUGUCUAGAGUUUCACUGAGGAACACUAAUUUCCACAGGAGAAAGACCCUAGGGCUUGUACUAUUUACUAUAGAAUAAGGUGGAAUUAUUCAGGUUCCCUACUGUACACUGAUUUUUUUAGAGGAAUAAGUCAGCAAAAUGCCAAAAAUGUUUUACUUCUCAUUCGCCUCCCUCUUCCAAUCUGUGGGGUUCCCAUUACAGGAGGUUCUAAGGCUGCCUGACUCGCUAUACCAAUUUCAUCCUUGAAGAUGGAGAUGUUUACACUGUAAACAUUAGUGUAUUCUAAGUUUGUUGUGUUUUUCAUUUUAAAAGCAUUCCUCGGUAUGCUUUCUUUGAAAGAAAAAUCUUCAGGGACACCUGGGUGGCUCAGUGGUGGAGCGUCUGCCUUCGGCUCAGGGUACGAUCCCGGCUCCUGGGAUCAAGUCCUGCAUCAGGCUCCGCACAGAGAGUCUGCUUCUCCCUCUGCCUGUGUCUCUGCCUCUCUGUGUGUCUCUCAUGAAUAAAUAAAUAAAAUCUUAAAAAGAUUUAAAAAAA